UACGUAGGGUGCAAGCGUUGUCCGGAAUUAUUGGGCGUAAAGAGCUCGUAGGCGGUCUGUUACGUCGGAUGUGAAAACCCGAGGCUUAACCUCGGGCCUGCAUUCGAUACGGGCAGACUCGAGUGUGGUAGGGGAGACUGGAACUCCUGGUGUAGCGGUGAAAUGCGCAGAUAUCAGGAGGAACACCAAUGGCGAAGGCAGCUCGCUGGAACGGUACUGACGCUGAGGCGCGAAAGCGUGGGGAGCGAACAGG
rnacentral:rRNA from 1 species